AUUGAACGCUGGCGGCGUGCUUAACACAUGCAAGUCGAACGGUGAACGAGGGAGCUUGCUCCCUCCGGAUCAGUGGCGAACGGGUGAGUAACACGUGAGCAAUCUGCCCUGGACUCUGGGAUAAGCGUUGGAAACGACGUCUAAUACCGGAUACGAGACGCGAAGGCAUCUUCAGCGUCUGGAAAGAACUUCGGUCCAGGAUGAGCUCGCGGCCUAUCAGGUAGUUGGUGAGGUAACGGCUCACCAAGCCUACGACGGGUAGCCGGCCUGAGAGGGUGACCGGCCACACUGGGACUGAGACACGGCCCAGACUCCUACGGGAGGCAGCAGUGGGGAAUAUUGCACAAUGGGCGCAAGCCUGAUGCAGCAACGCCGCGUGAGGGACGACGGCCUUCGGGUUGUAAACCUCUUUUAGCAGGGAAGAAGCGAAAGUGACGGUACCUGCAGAAAAAGCACCGGCUAACUACGUGCCAGCCGCCGCGGUAAGAC
rnacentral:rRNA from 1 species